AAGAUACUUCUGAAUCGAUACUUUAAAGGUGAUUAUAGUAUUGGUAUGAAUGGACACCUAUCAGGAGCCUACUCCAAAACUGCACAGGUGGGAGGAAGCUUUUCUGGACAAGACUCAGAUAAGAUGGGGAUAUCAAUGUCAGACAUUCAGUGUCUGCUGGAUAAAGAAGGUGCAUCAGAACUUGUCAUCGAUGUUAUAGUGAACACCAAAAAUGACAGAAUUUUUUCAGAAGGCAUUUUCCUCGGCAUUGCCUUGCUUGAAGGAGGAAAUACACAAACACAGGUACUUGUUCAUCAAUCAUGGGGAUUACAUUUAUUAUUGGUAUUUCUUCUUUACUUGUCACAGAAACCAAGGAAAAAUAAUAUGUUUCUUUUAGCUCUUAUUACUAUCUAAAAAAA
rnacentral:sRNA from 1 species